AUGCCUCGGUUGUCCGAGAAUCGAUGCCUAAAGGGGGAUACUGCCUCGGUUCUGAAAACAACCGAGUCAGAAAACUUUGAUUCCACUUGCAAAAAGGACUUUUCACUUGACAACUUUUCUGAUAUAAAGAUUUUCACCUCCACAUUUUCUCUCGACCCAACCACCUCCCUCUUCUCUGACUCACUCUCAUCAACCAUUGUCAACCCCUCGUCCCUCCUCUACUUCUCCUCCAUCGCCCCCCUCCUUUUCUUCACCAUCGCCUUUGUCUCCUCCUCCAUCUCCCCCCUCAUUUUCUUCACCGCGCCCCUCCUCCUCCCUUCCCAACCCCAACACCGCCACCACCACCAACAACCCCAACACCACCAGGCGACGCCCAAUGGUGCUCCCUCUGCGAUCUCUUCUACCUCGUCUUCAAAAACGUCGACGACAAGCUCAAGCCACACAUCGCCCUCUCCAAUCUCUCCCUACCCUCCGACUGCGCCACCGCCAUGGUCCUCUCCCGCCUCGCCCACGGCCUCUCCGCCAAAACCCUCACUACCCGCUACUCCCUCGAUCCGUACCUCGUCUCCAAAAUCACCAACAUGGUCACCUGCCUCCUCGAUCCGCUACCCGUUGGUCACCGCUGCCUCCUCGAGACCACCCAGGCCGUUGAGGAACUCACAUCCCUCCCCAACAUGUGCAGCGCCAUCGACACCACCCCCGUCAACCUCCGCUCCACCCCCAAAAGCAACCCUAACCUCAACCCCUACCGCUGCCGCUACGGCUACCCCUCUCUUUUCCUCCAGGUCGUCUCCGAUCACAAGAUCUUCUGGGACGUCUGCGUCAAGGCCCCCAACGGCACCAACAACGCCACCCACUUCCGCGACAGCCUCCUCUACCGCCCUCUACUGCCCUUUCUCCUCUUCCUGAUCUCUCCCAAUGGGAUGGGCACCCCCGCGCAGAACCUGUUCGAUGAAAUGCUCAUGAAGGGAAGGAGUGUAUGGGGCAGUGUUUGACUUUGCCAAUCCA